rnacentral:misc_RNA from 1 species
GAACCAAAAAAAAAAAAACGUAUUUUACAUUUAAAAAUACCUGAAGCAAUAACCACUUUGCUACGAGAAGAGUUAGGGAAUUUAACAUGAAUUUACAAGCAGAAAUCAUAUCACAAGUAAGCUAAUACAAGUUAAAGAGGUGAGAUGCAAGAAACACAUCAGCAAGCAAUUUGUGACCCACGAAGAGGAAGUUUUUACUACCAAUGAUUACAGAAUAUUUACCUGUAACAUUGCAA